rnacentral:misc_RNA from 1 species
UAUUUUAUAUAAAAUUUCAGGUGUCUCCGUUUGACAGAAAAAUGGUUUCAAAAAAUCCUAAAAAUUAAUAGAAAUAACAUGAAGAUUGACAUUACUACGAAAACCAGUGAUAUCCUUAGUCUAGCAAGAUGUUGGUAUACAGAAGGAAGGCAUACCGACAUAAGUGUAAGAUGUGGAGGGGAAGGGGAAUCAGUUUUCCACUGUCAUAAACUAAUCCUAAGGGAUCUGUUGAUAAAACAGCUAGGAGCGGAGGUUUGUGUAGUGGAAGAUGCAGACGAGAUAAUUCUAUCCGAGGUUUCUAAACAAUCCUUCCAGGAGUACAUCAGAAUUGUAUACGGGUUUUCUGAGACUGUAUUGAGUUGUUCACUUGAGGAGAAGGAAUGGGUUCUGACUAUGCUUGAUAUACCAGAUAUGGAUUUUCAGGUAAAAAUUGAAGACGAUCCCUUGGCUGAACUUACGAUCAAACAGGAACCGAUCAUAGAGCUCUCAGAAAAUCUCAGCUUCUCAUCAGUCCCAGAGAAAUUUACCAAGGUUCAUACCUGUGGUUUUUGCAAAAAAGAGUUUAGAAGACAUGAUCAUCUGAACAGACACAUGCUGCAACAUACCGGCGAAAAACCGUUUGAAUGUGAUCAAUGUGAGAAAGGAUUUACGAGGAAGGAUAAACUCAAACAGCACGUAGCAAAACAUCACAUUGAUUUGUUAUCUGGGCAACUGCUCUCACAGGAUAUGAAGUAUGCUGAUGAGUUUGAGGAGCACAAGAUGGAUUUUCAGGAAAUAACGAUGACAAAUGACGAAGAUGAGAAGGAAGGCGAAGACCAUGAUAUGAAGGAAGAAGAUAAUAUCGAGGAGACUGAUGAGACAUUAGAAGAAGAUAAAAAGUCUAAAAAGCUGAGACCAGGAAAGAAAGUGACUUGUAUCUACUGUCCAGAAACUUUCAACGGAAUAAAAUCUAGAAAAAAACAUGCACUAGCAAACCACUCAGCUGAGAUUCUAGAGAGCUGUCGUCUUCUCUCCUUAAGGCGGGAUGGAAAGAGGAAAAGACUGAAGAAUCAUACAUGCCCUGAGGAAGGAUGUGAAAGACAAUUCAGACACACCUGUGAGGUUACUGAUCACGUCAACGUUGUGCACAAUCAUCAGAAGAACUAUAUUUGUGAACUUUGCUCAAAAGCUUUCCCGUACAGGAAAUCUCUGAGAUAUCACAUGGAUCUGAAGCACAACAUGAACAAGAAGGUUGAGAGUAUCCUGUGUCCCAACUGCGGAGAUAUUUUCACUUCUAAGAUUAAACUUCAGAUUCAUAUCACGGCCAAACAUAGAAUCAAGGUACAAAGAUACCAGUGCAAGUUCUGUGACUUCAAGACGCACGCUAGGAAUGUUAUAACGGAGCAUGAACGUACACACACAGGAGAGAAGCCUGAAAUUUGUCAGUGGUGUGGAAAAGGAUUUAACGCUAAGAAAACUUUACGAAAUCAUGAACGACUUCAUACAGGAGAGAAACCUUACAAAUGUAACCACUGCUCCAGCAGUUUCGCCCAGAGAACCAGUCUUAACGUUCAUUUUAAUUCACAUCAUAAAGGACUGCAACCCUUAUCCAGUCCAAUCAAAGACAAGGAUAAAUUUAAUGGUAAUUAUGACGAGCAAAGCGAGCAAGAAUCGGAGGAUACUUUGUCUAUAAAUCAAAUGGACGAAUCAAGGAUGAGACUUGAAGAACGACGACAAGUUAGCGAUGAACCCUGGAACUCGAAUACAUUGACCAUUAAACCUCUUAACAAACUUCAAAAUAUUGGUGUUCAUGAAUCUGUUAUUGUUCCACGCUACAAAUCUGACCGCUAAGAAUGCACACCUGUAUGAAUAAUGAAUAUCAAACAAAACCCCGGUUAAAUCUAUAUCUUGACUAUUGUAACUUUUAUGUAAACCAAAUCUAAUCUCUUAUUAAUAGAACCCGGUUUCGACCAAUGAGAGACAAAAUAAUAAUAACAAAUAAUUUUAAUCGAUUAAAUCUAGUUUAAUCAAUUCACAUGAUACCAGCUCUGGUUUCAUAGUAAAAUUUGAAUGUGUACCUGUUAAACUCAUAUAUGUAAACUAUACCCGUGUGUUUCUUGUCAGUUUUUAAUGUAAAAUAUAUGAACCCAUGUUA